rnacentral:rRNA from 1 species
UACGAAGGGGGCUAGCGUUGUUCGGAAUCAUUGGGCGUAAAGGGCGCGUAGGUGGUUCUGUAUGUCUACCGUGAAAGCAUACAGCUCAACUGUAUUUUGUCGGUAGAAACUGCAGGACUUGAGGCUGGGAGGGGCUGGUGGAAUUCCCUGUGUAGCGGUGAAAUGCGUAGAGAUGGGGGAGAACACUCGUGGCGAAGGCGGCCAGCUAGACCAGUUCUGACACUGAGGCGCGACAGCGUGGGGAGCAAACAGG